rfam:Schistosoma curassoni strain Dakar, Senegal genome assembly, scaffold: SCTD_scaffold0001955
AUCCAGCUGACAAGUCCCGAAUAGGACGAAACGCGCGUCCUGGAU